UACGAAGGGGGCUAGCGUUGCUCGGAAUCACUGGGCGUAAAGCGCACGUAGGCGGAUUGUUAAGUCAGGGGUGAAAUCCUGGAGCUCAACUCCAGAACUGCCUUUGAUACUGGCGAUCUCGAGUCCGGGAGAGGUGAGUGGAACUGCGAGUGUAGAGGUGAAAAUUCGUAGAUAUUCGCAAGAACACCAGUGGCGAAGGCGGCUCACUGGCCCGGUACUGACGCUGAGGUGCGAAAGCGUGGGGAGCAAACAGG
rnacentral:rRNA from 1 species